rnacentral:tRNA from 1 species
GCCGCGUUAGCUCAGUGAUAGAGCAACCGCCUUGUAAGCGGUAGGUCGCCAGUUUGAAUCUGGCACGCGGCUCCA